rnacentral:rRNA from 1 species
CACACUAUCAUUAACUGAAUCCAUAGGUUAAUGAGGCGAACCGGGGGAACUGAAACAUCUAAGUACCCCGAGGAAAAGAAAUCAACCGAGAUUCCCCCAGUAGCGGCGAGCGAACGGGGAGCAGCCCAGAGCCUGAAUCAGUAUGUGUGUUAGUGGAAGCGUCUGGAAAGGCGCGCGAUACAGGGUGACAGCCCCGUACACAAAAAUGCACAUGCUGUGAGCUCGAUGAGUAGGGCGGGACACGUGGUAUCCUGUCUGAAUAUGGGGGGACCAUCCUCCAAGGCUAAAUACUCCUGACUGACCGAUAGUGAACCAGUACCGUGAGGGAAAGGCGAAAAGAACCCCGGCGAGGGGAGUGAAAAAGAACCUGAAACCGUGUACGUACAAGCAGUGGGAGCACGCUUAGGCGUGUGACUGCGUACCUUUUGUAUAAUGGGUCAGCGACUUAUAUUCUGUAGCAAGGUUAACCGAAUAGGGGAGCCGAAGGGAAACCGAGUCUUAACUGGGCGUUAAGUUGCAGGGUAUAGACCCGAAACCCGGUGAUCUAGCCAUGGGCAGGUUGAAGGUUGGGUAACACUAACUGGAGGACCGAACCGACUAAUGUUGAAAAAUUAGCGGAUGACUUGUGGCUGGGGGUGAAAGGCCAAUCAAACCGGGAGAUAGCUGGUUCUCCCCGAAAGCUAUUUAGGUAGCGCCUCGUGAAUUCAUCUCCGGGGGUAGAGCACUGUUUCGGCAAGGGGGUCAUCCCGACUUACCAACCCGAUGCAAACUGCGAAUACCGGAGAAUGUUAUCACGGGAGACACACGGCGGGUGCUAACGUCCGUCGUGAAGAGGGAAACAACCCAGACCGCCAGCUAAGGUCCCAAAGUCAUGGUUAAGUGGGAAACGAUGUGGGAAGGCCCAGACAGCCAGGAUGUUGGCUUAGAAGCAGCCAUCAUUUAAAGAAAGCGUAAUAGCUCACUGGUCGAGUCGGCCUGCGCGGAAGAUGUAACGGGGCUAAACCAUGCACCGAAGCUGCGGCAGCGACGCU